rnacentral:rRNA from 1 species
CCUACGGGAGGCAGCAGUGAGGAAUAUUGGUCAAUGGUCGGGAGACUGAACCAGCCAAGCCGCGUGAGGGAUGAAGGUACAGAGUAUCGUAAACCUCUUUUGUCAGGGAACAAAGGCGGGGACGUGUCCCCGGAUGAGUGUACCUGAAGAAAAAGCAUCGGCUAACUCCGUGCCAGCAGCCGCGGUAAUACGGAGGAUGCGAGCGUUAUCCGGAUUUAUUGGGUUUAAGGGGUGCGCAGGCGGUCUGUUAAGUCGGCGGUCAAAGCCCGGGGCUCAACCCCGGCCCGCCGUUGAAACUGGCAGGCUCGAGUUGGAGAGAAGUAUGCGGAAUGCGCGGUGUAGCGGUGAAAUGCAUAGAUAUCGCGCAGAACUCCGAUUGCGAAGGCAGCAUGCCGGCUCCACACUGACGCUGAGGCACGAAAGCGUGGGUAUCGAACAGGAUUAGAUACCCCAGUAGUC